rnacentral:rRNA from 1 species
CCUACGGGUGGCAGCAGUGGGGAAUAUUGCACAAUGGGGGAAACCCUGAUGCAGCGACGCCGCGUGAGUGAAGAAGUAUUUCGGUAUGUAAAGCUCUAUCAGCAGGGACGAAAAUGACGGUACCUGAUUAAGAAGCCCCGGCUACCUCCGUGCCAGCAGCCGCGGUAAUACGUAGGGGGCAAGCGUAUUCCGGAUGGACUGGGUGUAAAGGGAGCGUAGACGGCAGCACAAGUCUGGAGUGAAAGGACGGGGCCCAACCCCGGGACUGCUCUGGAAACUCUUGAACUUGAGUGCAGGAGAGGGAAGCGGAAUUCCUAGUUGCGCGGUGAAAUGCGUAGAUAUUAGGAGGAACACCAGUGGCGAAGGCGGCUUACUGGACUGUAACUGACGUGGAGGCUCGAAAGCGUGGGGAGCAAACAGGAUUAGAUACCCGAGUAGUC